UCGCCGGACAGCGCCGAUUUGAGCCUCCAGCUUGCGGGCGCGUUACAAAUGCAGCUAAAGUGGCGGUCGGUUCGGACCC
rnacentral:ncRNA from 1 species